GGAAAAAAAACAAAAAAAAGGCAUAAAUACACCACGUUCCAAACGACCAGUUCCAGUAGACAAUCCAUGGGUCAUACGUAUUGAACACAUAUACUCGUACAUAUGUACGGUACCACCGAAGAGAAGUAAUUCUGUACCGGCUUGAUACCUCUCAAGGCAGGCAGCGAUUGGAUAAAAGCGAUGCACAUCAGGACACAAUUCAAACUUUCUCGCUAUCACCCAGGCAACAACAAACCAAUACACUUCGGAGCAUCCUUACACAUUAUGCGUUGACGAGUUCAUAUACAUACAUACAUAGGACAUUUAUCGAGCCUCUCAAGGCAGGCAGCGAUUGG
rnacentral:sRNA from 1 species